CCCACACACACUGCAUCCCUCACACAUACCAUUUGUUAUUAUUUCUGGCUGAUACCGGUGUCAGGGUUUCUUUGCUGUUUUAAACAGCCACCCUUCCUUUUUCAGUGUGUUUUUCAGCUGAGAUUAACGAUCAGCUCCUUCAGUAUGUUGCCACGGUUACUCACCUGAUUGUAGUAACCAGCCCUGCUGCUAAUCAGGUAAUUUAAGCAGCAGCAAAGCCCAGUAACUCCUUGCCCUUGUGUGGUUUCCUGUUCCCCAGUAGUCUCCUUGUUCCCGUGUGUUCCUGUUUGUUCCUGUGUGUUCCUGUGUGUUCCUGGUUCCUGACUCUGGCCUUGUUCCUGACUCCGCUGCUCUCUGUUCUCAUGAUCCUGGCUCGUCUGACUACCCGCUCUGGUGACUGACUCCUGCUUUCCUCCUGGACUUUGCUUUUGGUUAUUACUUUAUUUUCUAUUUAUUAAUAAAGGUGUUUUUGCAUCUA